GAUGAAGAACGCAGCGAAAUGCGAUAAGUAGUGUGAAUUGCAGAAUUCAGUGAAUCAUCGAGUCUUUGAACGCACAUUGCGCCCCCUGGUAUUCCGGGGGGCAUGCCUGUCCGAGCGUCAUUGCUGCCCUCAAGCACGGCUUGUGUGUUGGGCCCCGUCCUCCGAUCCCGGGGGACGGGCCCGAAAGGCAGCGGCGGCACCGCGUCCGGUCCUCGAGCGUAUGGGGCUUUGUCACCCGCUCUGUAGGCCCGGCCGGCGCUUGCCGAUCAACCCAAAUUUUUUAUCCAGGUUGACCUCGGAUCAGGUAGGGAUACCCGCUGAACUUAAGCAUAUCAAUAAGCGGAGGA
rnacentral:misc_RNA from 1 species